UGUGUCUGACCUCCUUUCUCUCCUCCUCCUCCUCUUCCUCCUCCUCCUCUUCCUCAGUGAAAGCGAUGCGAUUGGCUCUUUUGAAUCAGAAGGUGUGGUCGUUGUGGGCGUGUGCACCGUGUGCAGCGUCGCCUCAACUUCCUGUUUCACUCAAUAAAGUUUCAUUGUGGAGA